AUGGGCUCUAUGGGGCAGACCUAUGGGUUCUGUGGGGCAGAUCUCUGUGCUCUAUGGGAUCUCUGGGGCUCUAUGGGGCAGAUCUCUGUGCUCUAUGGGAUCUCUGGGGCUCUAUGGGGCAGAUCUCUGUGCUCUAUGGGAUCUCUGGGGCUCUAUGGGGCAGAUGUCUGUGCUCUAUGGGAUCUCUGGGGCUCUAUGGGGCAGAUCUCUGUGCUCUAUGGAGAUCUAUGGGGCUCUAUGGGGCAGAUCUCUGUGCUCUAUGGGAUCUCUGGGGCUCUAUGGGGCAGAUCUCUGUGCUCUAUGGAGAUCUAUGGGGCUCUAUGGGGCAGAUCUCUGUGCUCUAUGGGAUCUCUGGGGCUCUAUGGGGCAGACCUAUGGGCUCUAUGGGGCAGAUCCCUGUCUCUACGGCUCUAUGGGAUCUCUGGGGCUCUAUGGGGCAGACCUAUGGGCUCUAUGGGAUCUCUGGGGCUCUAUGGGGCAGAUGUCUGCUCUGUAUGGCAUCUAUGGGAUUUCUGGGGCUGUAUGGGGCUCUAUGGGGCAGAUCUCUGGGCUCUAUGGGCUCUAUGGGGCUCUAUGGGGCAGACCUAUGGGCUCUAUGGGGCAGACCUAUGGGCUCUCUGUCCUCUGUGGGACAGAUGUAUGGGCUCUAUGGGCUCUAUGGGUCUCUAUGGGCCUUUAUGGGGCUCUAUGGGGCAGACCUGUGGGCUCUAUGGGGCUCUAUGGGAUCUCUGGGGCUCUAUGGGGCAGACCUAUGGGCUCUAUGGGAUCUCUGGGGCUCUAUGGGGCAGACCUAUGGGCUCUAUGGGGCAGAUUUCUGUGCUCUAUGGGAUCUCUGGGGCUCUAUGGGGCAGACCUAUGGGCUCUAUGGGGCCUCUGGGGCUCUAUGGGGCAGACCUAUGGGCUCUAUGGGGCAGACCUAUGGGCUCUAUGGGGCUCUAUGGGGCAGAUCUCUAUGGGGCUCUAUGGGCUCUAUGGGGCUCUAUGGGGCAGACCUAUGGGCUCUAUGGGGCAGAUUCUGCUGGGUAUGGCUCUAUGGGGCAUCCUCUAUGGGGCUCUAUGGGGCAGACCUAUGGGCUCUAUGGGCUCUAUGGGGCUCUAUGGGGCAGACCUAUGGGCUCUAUGGGGCUCUAUGGGCUCUAUGGGCUGUCUGGCCUCUAUGGGGCAGACCUAUGGCUAUGGGCUCUAUGUCUUGGGCUGCUAUGGGCUCUAUGGGCUCUAUGGGGCUCUAUGGGGCUCUAUGGGGCAGACCUAUGGGGCUGUUAUGGGGCUCUAUGGGGCCUAUGGGGCUCUAUGGGGCAGACCUAUGGGCUCUAUGGGCUCUAUGGGGCUCUAUGGGGCAGACCUAUGGGCUCUAUGGGGCUCUAUGGGGCAGACGUAUGGGGCUCUAUGGGGCUCUAUGGGGCAGACUAUGGGCUCUAUGGGGCUCUAUGGGGCUCUAUGGGGCAGGCUAUGGGCUCUAUGGGGUCUAGCCUAUGGGCUCUAUGGGGCAGAUGUCUCUAUGGCUCUAUGGGGCUCUAUGGGGCAGGUAUGGGCUCUAUGGGGCAGACCUAUGGGCUCUAUGGGGCAGAUUUCUGUGCUCUAGGGGCUGUAUGGGGCUCUAUGGGGCAGACCUAUGGGCUCUCUGUCCUCUGUGGGACAGAUGUAUGGGCUCUAUGGGCUCUAUGGGGCUCUAUGGGGCAGACCUAUGGGCUGUAUGGGGCUCUAUGGGGCAGACCUAUGGGCUUUGUGGGGCAGAUGUCUGCUCUGUAUGGCAUCUAUGGGAUCUCUGGCAUCUAUGGGGCUCUCUGGGGCUCUCUGGGGCUCUAUGGGGCAGACCUAUGGGCUCUAUGGGAUCUCUGGGGCUCUAUGGGGCAGACCUAUGGGCUCUAUGGGGCAGAUCUCUGUGCUCUAUGGGAUCUCUGGGGCUCUAUGGGGCAGACCUAUGGGCUCUAUGGGGCAGAUCUCUGUGCUCUAUGGGAUCUCUGGGGCUCUAUGGGGCAGACCUAUGGGCUCUAUGGGAUUUCUGGGGCUCUAUGGGGCUCUAUGGGGCUGAUGUAUGGGCUCUAUGGGAAAUUGCAGGCGAUGCUAUGAGGCUGGGAGUGCUGAGCUGUGGGGCAGGCGAUGCUAUGGGGCUGGGAGUGCUGAGCUAUGGGGCAGGGCGAUGCUAUGGGCUGUGGGGCAGGCAAUGCUAUGGGGCAGGGAGUGCUGUGCUAUGGGGCAGGCGAUGCUAUGGGGCUGACAAUGCUAUGGGGCAGGCGAUGCUAUGGGGCUGUGGGGCAGGUGAUGCUAUGGGGCUGUGGGGCAGGCAAUGCUAUGGGGCUGGGAGUGCUGAGCUAUGGGGCAGGCAAUGCUAUGGGCUGGAGUGCU
rnacentral:lncRNA from 7 species